rnacentral:tRNA from 1 species
GGGCCUGUAGAUCAGUUGGUAGAUCGCCCGCUUUGCAAGCGGGAGGCCGUGGGUUCGAAUGCACUGCUGUCGCAGGCACAAUCAGCAGAGCUGAAUAUCCCACCGGGUCCA